UGGAAUUUCUUUUUUCACUUUGUUCGUUAGAAUCGUUUUACAUUUAAUUGUAUCUAUUAUAAUUAUAAUAAUAUGCCGUUUUGCGUCAUUCGUCACUUCGAUCCUCACCGAUUUGUCACCUCGACCGCGUGCGACCCAUCGAAAUAUUAAUGGAAUAAUAAUAAAUGCUAAGUGCCAUACAAUUAUAUGGGUUUUUCUCUCUCUCUCUCUCUCUCUGUCUAAAUUCGUUACCUAUUCGUUUAUAAGUCCGAAUGAUGUUUGGUGUAAGUAGUCAAAAGUAGGUAUUUUAUUGUAUGGUUUGAACCGCAUACCGCGCAUUAUAGGAGUAUAAUAAUACAAUAUCGAAUAGGUAUAACAUAAUAAUGCAAUAUUUUGUAAAAUAAUAUAUUUAUGUGUGAAAGAGACGCUUGUCGUGAACUCCACGAUCCUAGAAGAUAAAAUCGACACGCGGCUAUCACCUACGUGUUAAUUAUUUGAACACAAAGCGAGACAGUUUCGGUUCGAUAUUUUAUCGCUUAAUUCGAGGGACAACGGCUUCACAUUUAACUUCCAACCGAACCGCCUAAAAUUAUUUUAAAAAUGUCAAAUAUUUAUAGUUUUUUUUUUUUUUUUGCAUUUUAUGUUCGUAAACAAAUUAUAUUAUAUUAUACCAUUAUUAUUUCUUCGAAUUGAUUAUAAUUAUUAUUAUUUUUGACCUAACCGACAAACGCACAGUGUCGCGUCAUUAGAAAAAAAAUUGUAACAUUGGUAGGUACUAUAAAACCGUCUCUCUAAGCGACAGCAUUUGAUAGCCUUAAUGCAGUGUCCGAUUUUAUUUUCUAAGACUGCGCUCACGAGUCAUAGUUGAUUUUUUUCUCCCGGGUCAUAAACAAUGUAAUAAUAACAAAAACAACCCUCUGAUAGAAGUUAAUAACCGAUAAGAAUAACGUUAAUAAAAUAAUUUUAAAGAACGUUGUCAAUAAUCAAUUAUUAUAAAGGAGUAGGUACUUACCUACCUAUUAUAAAAGUAUGCGUGUAAAAGCAUUCGUUAAAACUUCAUUCGUACGGCCGUCUGAAAAUCGAUGGUCUUUUUUUUGUUUUAACGAAAUUUGUUUAUUAUUAUUUUUUUUUUUUUUAUAGAAAAUCGAUAUAUAUAUUAUUAUUAUUAUUAUUAUUAUUAUUACACAUUGUUUUCAGAGUCAACGACGACGGUUUAUUAUUAUUAAAAUAUAUUGUUCUGUAAUAUAAUUAUUAAUUUUAUAUUAUAUUUUAUAAUAUACAUAAUUAUAUAUAUUAUAUAUAUAUAUAUAUAUAUAUUGAGGAUUUUUACGUACUAUUUAGCAACGAUUUAUUUAUACUGUAAGUUUAAUCAUACACGAUUAUAUUAUUGAAAACGAAAAAAAUACAUAAAAAAAAAAAUAAACUUGUAAAACGCUUAGCGACAAUAUUAUCGACACAAUCGCGUUACACCUUAUUUAUAUACUAUAAUACUUUACAUAUUAUUAUUUGUUUUAAAUUUAAUAACCACUAUAAUUCAUUCGCGCAUAAAUACCGCGGUCAUUAUAUACCUAUAUA